rnacentral:rRNA from 1 species
CAGCCGCCACGGUAAUACGAGGGGGGCAAGCGUUGUUCGGAAUUAUUGGGCGUAAAGGGUGCGUAGGCGGUUUGGCAAGUCUUAUGUGAAAUCUUCGGGCUCAACCCGAAGUCUGCAUGAGAAACUGCCGGGCUUGAGUAUGGGAGAGGUGAGUGGAAUUUCCGGUGUAGCGGUGAAAUGCGUAGAUAUCGGAAGGAACACCUGUGGCGAAAGCGGCUCACUGGACAUUUACUGACGCUGAUGCACGAAAGCUAGGGGAGCAAACAGGAUUAGAUACCCCCGUAGUCCCUGUCUCUUAUCC